AUUGAACGCUGGCGGCAGGCCUAACACAUGCAAGUCGAGCGGAUGAAGGGAGCUUGCUCCUGGAUUCAGCGGCGGACGGGUGAGUAAUGCCUAGGAAUCUGCCUGGUAAUGGGGGAUAACGUCCGGAAACGGGCGCUAAUACCGCAUACGUCCUGAGGGAGAAAGUGGGGGAUCUUCGGACCUCACGCUAUCAGAUGAGCCUAGGUCGGAUUAGCUAGUUGGUGGGGUAAAGGCCUACCAAGGCGACGAUCCGUAACUGGUCUGAGAGGAUGAUCAGUCACACUGGAACUGAGACACGGUCCAGAUUCCACGGGAGGCAGCAGUGGGGAAUAUUGGACAAUGGGCGAAAGCCUGAUCCAGCCAUGCCGCGUGUGUGAAGAAGGUCUUCGGAUUGUAAAGCACUUUAAGUUGGGAGGAAGGGCAGUAAGUGAAUACCUUGCUGUUUUGACGUUACCAACAGAAUAAGCACCGGCUAACUUCGUG
rnacentral:rRNA from 1 species